UAAGACGGGGGGAGCGAGCGUUGUUCGGAUUUACUGGGCGUAAAGGGCGUCUAGGCGGACUUUUAAGUCAGGUGUGAAAUCCUCCGGCUCAACCGGAGAACUGCACUUGAUACUGAAAGUCUUGAGUUCGGAAGAGGGAAGCGGAAUUCCUGGUGUAGCGGUGAAAUGCGUAGAUAUCAGGAAGAACACCGGUGGCGAAGGCGGCUUCCUGGUCCGAUACUGACGCUAAAGCGCGAAAGUGUGGGGAGCAAACAGGAUUAGAUACCCUGGUAGUCCACACUGUAAACGAUGGAUGCUAGGUGUCGGGGGUAUCGACCCCUCCGGUGCCGAAGUUAACGCAUUAAGCAUCCCGCCUGGGGAGUACGGUCGCAAGGCUG
rnacentral:rRNA from 1 species